rnacentral:rRNA from 1 species
AUUGAACGCUGGCGGCAGGCCUAACACAUGCAAGUCGAGCGGAGCGGCGGACGGGUGAGUAAAGCCUAGGAAUCGGCCUGGUCGUGGGGGAUAAGGUCCGGAAACGGGCGCUAAUCCCGCAUACUAUCCGAGUAGCCUAGGUCGGAUUAGCUAGUGGGGGGGGUAAAGGCCAACCAAGGCGACGAUCCGUAACUUGUCUGAGAGGAUGAUCAGUCACACUGGAACUGAGACACGGUCCAGACUCCUACGGGAGGCAGCAGUGGGGAAUAUUGUACAAGGGGCGAAAGCCUGAUGCAGCCAUGCCGCGUGUGUGAAGAAGGUCUUCGGAUUGUAAAGCACUUUAAGUUGGGAGGCGUUACCAACAGAAUAAGCACCGGCUAACUUCGUGCCAGCAGCCGCGGUAAUUC